UACGGAGGGUGCAAGCGUUGUCCGGAAUCACUGGGUGUAAAGGGUGUGUAGGCGGGACUGUAAGUCAGAGGUGAAAGGCUGCGGCUUAACCGUAGAAUUGCCUUUGAUACUGCAGUUCUUGAGUCCCGGAGGGGUCACUGGAAUUCGUGUGUAGCGGUGAAAUGCGUAGAUAUCACGAGGAACACCAGAGGUGUAGACGGGUGACUGGACGGGUACUGACGCUGAGGCACGAAAGCGUGGGGAGCAAACAGG
rnacentral:misc_RNA from 1 species